AGGGCCUUGGCAUGCAUCUGGAGGCUCUGGGCCCAAGCCUGUUUGCACGCUCAUUCUAGAUUUUGGCCUAAUUAGUUGCAUGGAGUUUUUGGACUGAGCAUUCCUGUCAAUGUUUGGAAUAAAAGAAUGGUUGCCAAUGAAGUGGAUGACCAAGGAAGAAUAAUCCUGCAAUGGAGAUUAACAGAUUCAAGAAUUGCUGCUAGGAGACCCUUGGAGACUGAGGGAGAAGGAAAGAAGGC